rnacentral:misc_RNA from 1 species
AUCAGAAGCAUCUUUCCAAUAUUCGGAUCCAGCGGUAGAGUGCAAAGAUGGCGGCCAAGUGGAGUAAGUUCUUCUGUAUCAUCCAGAGCUCCAAUAGUUUUGAGAAGUUCAAUAGCAUUGUGGACAGAGAGAGCAUCUGGAGGUUGAAGUGCCUUGGCCAAAAAGGAUUCAAUAGCGCCGAACUGCAAACUCUUAAUAUGGAGACAAAGCUCUUGUAGUGGUGUUCGAAGAAUCUCAGGUAGUUGAUAUUGUGCCAUAGCAUCAUGUAUUAGUUUCGGAUACAACCUAUAACAAACUCCAGGUUGUACACGGCCCGCACGACCACGCCUCUGAUGUGCUGAGGCCUUUGAUAUCCAUGAAGGUAAUAAACAAGCUAACUUGUUAAGUGCAUCAUAGCUAGUCUCUUUCGCCUUCCCACAGUCUAUGACAUACACGACAUCAUCUAUAGUUAUACUGCUCUCAGCUAUGUUGGUUGCAAGCACAAUUUUCCUCGUGUUAGCAGGUGGACGAUCAAAUAUUUCUCGUUGAUUUACUGUUGGCAUUGAACCGUGAAGAGGAAGGACUAAAAACUUCCUGGCGUCUCCAAGGAAGUUGUUAGCCUUAAUUUUAUCAAGUAGCUUAGAAAUCUCAUCCCAACCAGAUAGGAACACAAGAAUUGCACCUUCACCUUCACAGCGACAAAUAUAUUCAAUUGAUGCUUCGACAAGACCCAAAUCAAGCAGUGAACCAGACCAUGCUUCCAGAGAUUGUCUUGUAG